rnacentral:rRNA from 1 species
UACAGAGGGGGCAAGCGUUGUUCGGAAUUACUGGGCGUAAAGGGCGCGUAGGCGGCCUGCUAAGUCGAACGUGAAAUCCCCGGGCUCAACCCGGGAACUGCGUCCGAUACUGGUGGGCUUGAAUCCGGGAGAGGGAUGUGGAAUUCCAGGUGUAGCGGUGAAAUGCGUAGAUAUCUGGAGGAACACCCGUGGCGAAGGCGGCUCUCUGGGACGGUACUGACGCUGAGGCUCGAAAGCGUGGGGAGCAAACAGG